CUCGACUCCAACUUACCCGAUUUAAGGCACAACUUGUCAAAUGACCAGACAGGAUGUCUGGGCAAGGCGUGGUGAGCGCAGGGAUGCGCUCUCCACGCCGGUUUGAAUAGCAAGUUGGGGCUUAAAUUGGAAUAGUAAGUUGGUUG
rfam:Paraglaciecola sp. S66 Contig4, whole genome shotgun sequence.